AUUGAACGCUGGCGGCAUGCCUUACACAUGCAAGUCGAACGGCAGCACGGGGCAACCUGGUGGCGAGUGGCGAACGGGUGAGUAAUGCAUCGGAACGUACCUUUCAGUGGGGGAUAACGUAGCGAAAGUUACGCUAAUACCGCAUAUUCUGUGAGCAGGAAAGCAGGGGAUCGCAAGACCUUGCGCUGAUUGAGCGGCCGAUGUCAGAUUAGCUAGUUGGUGAGGUAAAGGCUAACCAAGGCGACGAUCUGUAGCGGGUCUGAGAGGAUGAUCCGCCACACUGGAACUGAGACACGGUUCAGACUCCUACGGGAGGCAGCAGUGGGGAAUUCUGGACAAUGGGGGCAACCCUGAUCCAGCCAUGCCGCGUGAGUGAAGAAGGCCUUCGGGUUGUAAAGCUCUUUCGGCCGGGAAGAAAUCGCACGGGCUAAUACCCUGUGUGGAUGACGGUACCGGAAUAAGAAGCACCGGCUAACUACGUGCCAGCCGCCGCAGUAAAAC
rnacentral:rRNA from 1 species